UGGGCUCGUGGGAGCUGCAGGCACACGAUUCCAUGUUGCACAGGGCUCAGAGCGUUUAUGAGGAGGGAUUACACCCUGAGGAGGGAAUGUCAAGAGCAGCUGAUUGAAACUGCAGGGGAAUUAAUUUAGGAAGGGCUCCAGCAUCAGUCUCUCCACAGUCACAAUGAGAUCCAUCCAUCUAUCCCAUUAUCUGAGGAAGCUGUCUGGAAUCCUUUUAUAGAUGAUAAAGAAAAACAGGAAAUGGAACUUUCUAGAGUGCAAUUAAUCUCAUUCUAAAGACAGUUCUAAACUAGAUGCUGGUAUAAACCACUGCUGCAGGAGCAUUGCUGAUGUUCAACUCAUCCUGAAAUAAAUGACGACAGGGAUAUAUCACAUCCUGAUUACCAGUGAUGAUACCAAAUAAAUAGGUAUCACUUGACUGUAAUGGGAGAUUCAGUACAUGGCU